GAUGAACGCUGGCGGCGUGCCUAAUACAUGCAAGUCGAGCGAACAGACGAGGAGCUUGCUCCUCUGACGUUAGCGGCGGACGGGUGAGUAACACGUGGAUAACCUACCUAUAAGACUGGGAUAACUUCGGGAAACCGGAGCUAAUACCGGAUAAUAUAUUGAACCGCAUGGUUCAAUAGUGAAAGACGGUUUUGCUGUCACUUAUAGAUGGAUCCGCGCCGCAUUAGCUAGUUGGUAAGGUAACGGCUUACCAAGGCGACGGUGCGUAGCCGACCUGAGAGGGCGAUCGGCCACACUGGAACUGAGACACGGUCCAGACUCCUACGGGAGGCAGCAGUAGGGAAUCUUCCGCAAUGGGCGAAAGCCUGACGGAGCAACGCCGCGUGAGUGAUGAAGGUCUUCGGAUCGUAAAACUCUGUUAUUAGGGAAGAACAAAUGUGUAAGUAACUAUGCACGUCUUGACGGUACCUAAUCAGAAAGCCACGGCUAACUACGUG
rnacentral:rRNA from 1 species